ensembl:lncRNA
GCAAGAGGUAAGAAAAGUGUUUCCCCAGGUGACUAUUCUUCAGUAUGUUGAUGACCUCCUGGUGGCGACUUCAACCAAUAAAGAAUGCAUUGCAGCCACCGAGGGCCUCCUGAAAGCCCUCCAGGAACUAGGAUAUUGGGUGUCCUGGAAGAAAGCUCAACUCUGCCGGACCAAGGUUUGAUUCCAAGACCCUGGAACCUCGUUGGAAGGGACUGGUUCCUGCUGUCCUGUCAACUCCCUUGGUGGUGAAGGUGGCUGGACAUUCUGCCUGGAUACAUUGCAACCAUCUGAAAGCAGGACCCCCCGU